AGCGAACGCUGGCGGCAGGCCUAACACAUGCAAGUCGAACGAAGUCUUCGGACUUAGUGGCGGACGGGUGAGUAACACGUGGGAACGUGCCUUUAGGUUCGGAAUAACUCAGGGAAACUUGUGCUAAUACCGAAUGUGCCCUUCGGGGGAAAGAUUUAUCGCCUUUAGAGCGGCCCGCGUCUGAUUAGCUAGUUGGUGAGGUAAAGGCUCACCAAGGGGACGAUCAGUAGCUGGUCUGAGAGGAUGAUCGGCCACAUUGGGACUGAGACACGGCCCAAACGCCUACGGGAGGCAGCAGUGGGGAAUCUUGCGCAAUGGGCGAAAGCCUGACGCAGCCAUGCCGCGUGAAUGAUGAAGGUCUUAGGAUUGUAAAAUUCUUUCACCGGGGACGAUAAUGACGGUACCCGGAGAAGAAGCCCCGGCUAACUUCGUGCCAGCAGCCGCCGCUGUAA
rnacentral:rRNA from 1 species